CCCAGGAGUUCUGGGCUGUAGUGUGCUAUGCCAAUCGGGUAGCAGGUCAAAGCUCCCCUGCUGAUCAGUAGUGGGAUCGCGCCUGUGAAUAGCCACUGCACUCCAGCCUGGGCAACAUAGCGAGACCCCGUCUCUA